AGGACGAACGCUGGCGGCGUGCUUAACACAUGCAAGUGGAGCGACGAACCAGGGCUUGCCCUGGGGCAAAGCCGCGAACGGGUGAGUAACACGUGGGUUACCUGCCCCGAUGACCGGGACAACCCGAGGAAACUCGGGCUAAUACCGGAUGUGACCGUAAGGUGAAAGGAAGCUUCGGCCUCCGCAUCGGGAUGGGCCCGCGGCCCAUUAGCUUGUUGGUGGGGUAAUGGCCUACCAAGGCAACGAUGGGUAGCUGGUCUGAGAGGAUGAUCAGCCACACUGGGACUGAGACACGGCCCAGACUCCUACGGGAGGCAGCAGUGGGGAAUCUUGCGCAAUGCGCGAAAGCGUGACGCAGCAACGCCGCGUGGGGGAAGAAGGCUUUCGGGUUGUAAACCCCGUUUCAGUUGGGACGAAGCUUCGUCGGUGAAUAGCCGACUGGAGUGACGGUACCUUCACAAGAAGCACCGGCCAACUACGUGCCAGCAGCCGC
rnacentral:rRNA from 1 species